CUGGUAAACAUUGGUCUAUAUCACACUUCUCCACCACGGAACACGAUAGAUCGAACCCAAGCACUAAUUAAAUUUCAAGGUGACACAUGAAAUGUCCCUCAUAUCACUGAACAAAGGAAAAUUUUCAAAUUUCCGUGAAGUGUUGGCUCAUGCCACAGAUUGUACCAACAUUGCAUACUGCAAACCGUCAGAAAACAUAUUUUUAGACAUUUCUUUCCAGUAGUUAUAAUAUAUUAAUAAAAUAAUUCAUGUUGGGAAUAGUGGCAGAAUUAUUCUCGUAUAAACAAUUAUCAACGCAUAUGUAAACAGCGUAGACUAGUUUCCGAAAACUCAGGUUAAUCAUUUUGAGGAAAAAUGCGCACAACUCCUGCCCACAUCAACAGAGCACCAGCACGACUGCAGCCUCAUAAAUUGUAGACCCGGUAUGUAUUAAACCUACAAGUGGAAGCCAUAUUUGCAAUGUUAUGUAGAAGUAAACAACACAUAUGCUGAUAAGUUUAAAAAGUAGCAUUUUAUUCAGAUGACAACAAUAAAGCUUUUUCUUUCUGAAUCAGAUAUAUGCCUAUAAAUUGCCAUGUAAAUAAGCAACAUGCAUAACCCCAUCCAAAAUUUUGCUGACUGUUAUAUAUUAAUAUGUAGUUAUACAGGUUACUACCAUAUAUGACAGUCUGUAAACAUUUUUGAUUCAUUGAAAAAAUAAGAAAUUUUCCAGUAUACUACUUGGGAAAGGUUACAAACCACUGACUUAUUUUGACAGUUUUGAGGUUAAUAUAUUUAUGUACAAGUAAACAUUAGAUAUAUAUAUAUACAUAAUGUACAUAUUAAACAGUACCAUCAGUUCCAUAAGCUUGGAAAUUUGUGAAUUAUGUUUCCACCCUCGAUGUUGUGAACUGUAACUGUAUACGGUUGCUAGCAAAUAUGAUAGAUCCAAUUUAUAGCUUUCAAACUUACCCCUGGUUACACACUGGGAAAAACAGAUAUUCAUUGCCUUUAAUUUUCUUUAUUUUUAACAUUGUUCCAGAAGUAUAUGUUCUUGCCAAGGUUUGUGACAGUGAAGAUUUCCGUCUUCUGGGUUAUUGCGCUGUGUAGUCUGGUCGAUGUUAACCAACGUUUCAGAGGGCGAUCGCCCUGAUGACGGAGGCAGUAUGACCUCUGAAACGUUGGUUAACUUCGACCAGACUACACAGCGCAAUAACCCAGAAGACGGAAAUCUUCACUGUCACCGCUGUGAAAACCUCAAAUCUUACACGUUUGUGACGGUGUUAGUCAAAGGCUAUUGUUACAUAAUAUUUUACUUCUUGAAUGACCGAGUCAGCUGUGUCCGUAUUUUGGUUAAUGGAGAGAACUUAGCUGUGUCCCAUAGAUCAGUUCAGCCCUUUCACUACAAGAAGCAAUAAAUUUAUAUUGCAAUCAUGUCAAUAUAUGGAUAUUAACUGCUGGUUAGUAGGCACCCUCUUUUAAGAAUAUGACAAGUUAUAAAAGCUGACAUCCAGUUGACCAGUUUCACGUUCAAUCCAAGGCUCUUUUUCACACUCAGUCUCAGUCUGCUCAGUCCCUUCAUUUGUCAACAUUAAAACAUUUAAAUGUAAUUUUUUAUUGAAAAAUUAAAGAUGUGUUUAGUUAGAAAUUGGGUCGCUCCAUUUUUAUUCACUCAAGAUUUCCAAAUGUCAUGGACAUUGUUAUAAUAUCUUGUGGUCCCCCUUUCAUGCUCUCACAGCCCAAAAUUGGAUGGUUUAGUGUACAUUUCUGUAGAGUUUCUGCAGAAUUUUGGACUUAAUUCAUACAACCUGUAUUGCAUAUUAUCAAAAAGAAAGCUGACAGUCAAUAAUUAUAUGGUAGGAAGAUGAUCAAAAGUCUGAUUUGCCCUUGGAUGGCUGAAUGAUGUCCGGAAGUCAGGACUUGCAGCGUUGCUUGGCAACUGAGGCAGCAUCAUGGAGCCAUUGCUGUAGCUGGAGUUCUGAAACAUGAAACAGUUUUUUGGACUGGGGUAAUACUCCAGAUGGAUCUAUGACUUCAUGUUCCUCAUCCUGAUAAGAUGACAGUAAUAUUAAUUCUAUUCAGGAACAACUUGUGGGAUCAAGUACAACUCUAUACAAUAAUUUCUCUGCCCAUGCUGCUUUAUGGAUCGGAAUGCUAGAUUCUACCUAUAGACCAGCAAAAAUAAGUAAAGCAACAGAGAUGUUUCUGUAACCUGUACUGGGAUCUAGCAGAUUGAUGUGGAAUGAAUGGAGAAACAUCUAGUUCCAAAAAUAUACCAUGUUUACUCUCUGAAAGGAAAACAAGACUCAGAAAGAUCUAUGAAAAGUUGGAGAGAUCAGUUCAAGAUCACUUCUGAAGUCAGAAUGGAUGAUUACUGGUAAGUAUAAUCUUUGAAGUAGAUGUUGAUGAUGAAGAAGAAGAAAUACCUAUGUGACGUGGCUUGUUUUUGUUUUUUCUGACCAGUUUUAUUUCAGAAUAGUAAAAGAGAAAACCUGGGAAUUUAUGUUUUCAAGAAGCCAUUCUCUUCUGAUUUACUUAUUGAUAACAUUGAUAGUCCCUUCUUAUCUGCUUACCCUUGAUCUGUCUCGCAACCGUCGAAGCUUCUCGAAUUCUUCUAAUUCUGAUUCAGGUAUUUUGAAAUGAAAAUUAUCAAAGUAUGGAUGUCUGAGGAGCUGUUCACAAGACCAUCUUCUGGCUGGAUCCUUGUCAACACAUUUCUGCAAUGAAACAAAUAGAUAUCCUUGAACAAAAAAGAGAGAAGUCACCUUAUUUGUAUUGGUUACAAUAUUUGAUAUUCUGCCAAGAAACUGUCUGCUAGAAUCUAUCUACUCACCAAUGGCCCACACAUCAACAGGGGGGCCAUACUGGGUAUCACCCACAAGGAGUUCUGGAGCCCGAUACCACCGCGUUGCCACAUAAUCUGUGUAAUUCUCUCCGGGACCUAGUAGACAGAACAAGGACCAUAAGCAAAACAGAUAAAUAUUUUCAAAUCUAAUUGUGGGUUUCUCUAAAUGGUUAAUUAUUUUAAUUUUGUUAGAAAGAACUCUUCUUUUUCUAAGAAGCAAUGUUAAUAUUGUUCAACACUAAUAUUUCAGAGACGAGGGACUCUACUCACUCAACAUUCGUGCAAAACCAAAGUCACAGAGCUUAACGACACCCUGUGCAGUUAGCAGAAUGUUCUCUGGCUUUACGUCUCGAUGGAUGCAAUUGUGCUGGUGGCAAUAUGCGACACCUUGCAAUGUCUGCCAUGUGAUUUGCCGAGUUAGCAACUCUGGGCAGCCUUGUGGGAACUUCUCCAAUUCUGCUAACACUGUAUGAUCACAGAAUUCGAACACCAGGUGCAGCUUCCGCUUCCGUCGAAACACCUCCAGAAGAUUUACUAAGUUGGGAUGCUUCAGGUUCUGAAAGGUAAAAGAGUUCACGGGUAUAGCAAUGAAAUACUGACCUUUAACAACUAAGUACAGUAACAGACCAAGUGAAAAGACAACACUAUUUAAUUGUUUGUGUUUCUGAUUAAUUUUUUUAUAUGAAUAUACUAAUAAAUGUUUCAGACAUUUGUUUGUGUGUGUGUAAUGUAUAAUUUUGAAACUGCACAAAGAAAUGUUUGUUGCAACGUUAAUUUACAGAUUUGAAGAUAAUAGGAUAAUGAAUUUGCCCAUCCAACAGAUGUGGUUAAUGAAUGAGGUUGUAACUGGUCGAACUAUUUGAUCCUCUUUUUUGUUCUUUUUGUUUGAUGAUGAAGUGACUUUACAAAAUCACAUUAAAUCAAUAUCAAAGUUUCACCCUUCCUAGAAAA